rnacentral:rRNA from 1 species
UGGGGAAUAUUGGACAAUGGGCGCAAGCCUGGUCCAGCCAUGCCGCGUGAGUGAUGACGGCCUUAGGGUUGUAAAGCUCUUUCGCUCGGGACGAUAAUGACGGUACCGAGAUAAGAAGCCCCGGCUAACUUCGUGCCAGCAGCCGCGGUAAUACGAAGGGGGCUAGCGUUGUUCGGAAUUACUGGGCGUAAAGCGCGUGUAGGCGGGUCCUUAAGUCAGGGGUGAAAUGCCAAGGCUCAACCUUGGAACUGCCUUUGAUACUGGGGAUCUUGAGUCCGGGAGAGGUGAGUGGAACUGCGAGUGUAGAGGUGAAAUUCGUAGAUAUUCGCAAGAACACCAGUGGCGAAGGCGGCUCACUGGCCCGGAACUGACGCUGAGACGCGAAAGCGUGGGGAGCAAACAGGAUUAGAUACCCUGGUAGUCCACGCUGUAAACGAUGGAUGCUAGCCGUUGGGGAGCUUGCUCUUCAGUGGCGCAGCUAACGCUUUAAGCAUCCCGCCUGGGGAGUACGGUCGCAAGAUUA